rnacentral:rRNA from 1 species
GAUGAACGCUGGCGGCGUGCCUAACACAUGCAAGUCGAGCGGUCACUUCGGUGAUAGUGGCGGACGGGUUAGUCACGCGUCAGAAUCUAACCUUAGGACUGGGCCACCAACUGGACACGGUUGCUAAUACCCGAUCUGCAGAGAUGUGAAAACUUAUUGGCCUAGGGAAGAGCUUGCGUCUGAUUAGCUAGUUGGUGUGGUAAGUGCGCACCAAGGCGACGCUCAGUCGCUGGUCUGAGAGGAUGAGCAGCCACACUGGGAAUGAGACACGGCCCAGACUCCUCCGGGGGGCAGCAGUGGGGAAUUAUCCGCAAUGGGCGAAAGCCUGACGGAGCAACGCCGCGUGAGGGAGGAAGGUCUUUGGAUUGUAAACCUCUUUUCGCAAGGAAGAAGUCAGUGACGGUACUUGAGGAAUAAGCAUCGGCUAACUUCGUG